rnacentral:lncRNA from 1 species
AUGCUGGCAGAGAAAAAGAUUAGAAACUGCGAUCUGGAUUAUUCUUGGUGUUAUGGAAUAUUUUUUCGGUCCUUUAUUAACAUAGAAUUAAAAUGCCCAAACGGAGCAAGAGAGAAGGUUCGGCUGCCCUGCUCACAAAGCUGCUGGGGUACAGACAGCAUACAGCCCCGGCAGAGCCUUCCCCGUCCUCCUUCGGAGCCACUAGACCAUCCCGUCUCGCGGUCCCUGAGGGCCAGCUUCGCCAGGAUACAGAAGGCGGUCACUGGACGUGCGUGUUGCAAGCCCGUUUUUGUUUUGUUUAAGAAACAGAUUCCGAUCCGAGCCAAACCUCCCUAUCCCCUGGGAAUAGGGGGAGGUGGCAGCAGGGUGCCGGCGAGGAGAGGGAGAAUAAAAGAACGGCGAGUACAACCUGUCGUGCAAGCGAGCAGCGCCGGGAAGGAAAGAUAUGGGGUCUCACUAUGUUGCCCAGGAUGGUCUCAAACUCAUGGGCUCAAGCUUCCACCCACCACAGCCUCCCAAAGUGCUGGUAUUACAGGCAUAAGCCACCAUAAAAGGUCUGGAAAAAUUCUUAACACUCUAUAAAGAGGUAAAGGAUUUCCUUAAAAAUAUCUUUUUUUUAAAAAAAGAUGGGGUUUCGUCAUGAUGGCCAGGCUGGUCAUGACUUAAAAAUAUCUUAACAGACUCCUGAGAUGUUUAAUAGGCAUUAGACUAAAAAAAAAAAAAUCUUAACAGAUAACAAAUGUGCUUGAAAUGGUAUAAGGGAAUAUAACCUCACUUAAUAAAUAUAACUCGAAGCCUCCAAGGAUUAACUCAAGAAAGCAAAUUUCAAGCAACAGACUUACCUACUACCAGUGUGACCCUCACUUUGAUGAUCACUUCUACCCCCAUACUAGACUAUAAAAGCAUUCUCCUCCUGUUUUACAUUCUUGUUUUACUCCGCAGUCUAAUCUCAUGAGUUGUGAGGCUCCCUACCAAUUCCUUCUGUUCUCACACGUUUUCAUUCCAGCCUCAGUCUCUGACAGUCAGGCCUUGGUUCUGCCCCAGUAGCCGUGCUUCUGCCAUGUGACAUUGCUCUCUUUGGCUACAGCUGACUGAUUGAAUCAGCAAGGUGUACCUCAUCUAAGCUGGGCCUAUCAUAUCUGUUCUUUCUGGAAUUUAGAACUGGGACCAACAGGCCAUCUACAGUAUCAAUGUGUCUGGAUUUUUGUAUGCUGAUAAUUGUGAGAGAAUCAUAGUCUGUUGUAUGGAAACUGAGAAGCAGGAAAAACCCUUCUGCUGUCGCUUUGCCACAAAGAGACUCAGACAUUAGAGAGCAGAGAGAGGUGUGUAGGUUCCUGGCAGCUUUGUGGAUCCAGAUCAUUCUAAUGGCUGGGGAGCAACCAUGUCUUAUAAGACCUGAAACUUAAUACAAUUUGAGGAAGGCCCUCUUUUUUAAAAAAUAGAAAAUAUGAAUACAAAAUUAGGUACAAAUAUGAAUAUUUAUUUAGAAUGGGAAAUAAAUCACCAAAAAUAACUUUUUUUUUUUUUGAGAUAGAGUCUUGCUCUGUCACCUAGACUGGAGUGCAGUGGUGCCAUGGCUCACUGCAGCCUCAACCUCCUGGGUUCAAGAGAUCCUCCAACCUCAGCCUCUCAAGUAGCUAGGACUACAGGCACACACCACCACACCCAGCUAAGUUUCAUAUUUUUUGUAGAGACAAGGUUUCGCCAUGUUGCCCAGGGUGGUCUCAAACUCAUGAACUCAAGCAGUCAUCAACGUUGGCCUCCCAAAGUGCUGGGAUUACAGGAGUGAGCCAUUCUAUCCAGCCCAUUGUUUUGUUUUGUUUUUUUGGUUUUUUUUUUGAGACAGGGUCUCGCUCUGUUGCCCAGGCUGGAGUGCAGUGGUACAAUCUCAGCUCACUGCAACCUCUGCCUACUGGGUUCAACAGAUUCUCUUGCCUCAGUCUCCCAAGAAGCUGGGACUACAGGUGCAUACUUGUAAUCUCACCAUCCCACUAAAGCCUGGGCAACAGAGCAAGACCCUUUCUCUAAAUAAAUAAAUAAAUAUAUAUAUAUAUAUAUGAAUAAACAUAUAUGUAAAAUAUGUAAAUAAAAAUAUAUAUUAAUAAAAUAUAUUCAAAACAAUGAAAAAAUAAAUGUAGUAAAUAAAUUUUAAAAUGACAAAAAAGGUACCUUUCACAUCCACCCACAUCAAGUGUCAUUUGUUCUUUUAUUUAUUUAUUGGAGACAGAGUCUCACUCUUUCACUAGGCUGGAGUGCAAUGGCAGGAUCUCAGCUUACUGCAACCUCCAUAUCCUGAAUUCAAGCAAUUCUCCUGCCUCAGCCUCCCAAGUAGCUGGAUUACAGUCACAUACCACCAUGCCCAGCUAAUUUUUUUGUGUUUUUAGUAGAGAUGGGGUUUCACUAUGUUGGUCAGGAUGAUCUCGAUCUCUUGACCUCAUGAUCCACCUGCCUCGGCCUCCCAAAGUGCUGGGAUUACAGGCUUGAGCCACGGUGCCCGGCCAGAUAUUAUUUAGAAUUGUCAUUCUCUAUUGUAAUUUUGUUCGUGUUUAUUUAUUUUACUAACAAAAUGCCCUUUAUUUCUUUUUCUUGCCUGAUUUCCCUGGCCAGUGUUCUUGUUUAUUUUUAAAUUUCCUUUUUGUUUAUACGAAGGAAAGAUAAUACUUAGUUUUGAACUUUAAAAAUGCACUAGUUGCUUUGUUACAAUAAAACUAAAUGUGUACUGUAUUAAACUGUUUUGCAUUGCUAUAAAGAAAUACCUGAGACUGGGUAAUUUAUAAGAAAAGAAAUUUAAUUAGCUCACAGUUCUUCAGGCUGUAUAGGAAGCAUAAUGCAGGCAUCUGCUUCUGAGAAGUCUUCAGAAGCUUACAAUCAUGGCAGAAGGCAAAUAGGGAGCAGGCCUCUCAAAGGGUGGGAGCAGGAUCAAGAGAAAGAAUUGUGGGGUGGAGGGAUGCUGCAGUGCCACACACUUUUAAAUGACCAGAUCUUGUGUGAACUCAGAGAGCUCAUGUAUCACCAAGAGGAUGGCCCAAGCCAUUCUUGAGGGAUCCGCCCCCAUGACCCAACUCCCAUCAGGCCCCACCUCCAACAUUGGGGAUUACAAUUCAACAUGAAAUUUGGAUGGGGACAACCACUCAAACUAUAUCAUGUAUAUACCUACAAAAAAUGCAUAUUCAAGUUUUAUCAGCUUUUUGAAUAAAUGUUUUACAUCUCAUUUGUAUAAAAAUUUAUCUUCUGAAUUGCCAAAAUAUGUAUCUUAGAAUCCUCAGAUUGUUAUUACACCAUUGAUACAAAGCUUGAACAGUUUUACAAUGGACAGACUAUCUGGUACGUGUAACCCUAAAGGAAAAUCCAAGUUGACAUGUACGUUUAAACGUUCCACCUCAUGAUUAGAAAUGGUUCAUCUAAAAUGUCUGAAAAGAAAAUAUGUAAUUACUGCAAAAUUAUCCUAACCUUAAGUGUUGUAGAGAGAGUUUCCUAACCUCCAAUCCUCUGUGAAAAGAAAAAAGAGCCGGGGUGGCCAGGAGAAACUCUAGGAAUGAGUGAAUGAACAGACAUCUUAACCAACUGUAGUUAAAUGUCUUACUUUUACAAUUUUACAGCAACCCUUGACCAUGCAAGCAUAUUUCUGGGGCCUAUCCCAGGUCCUCUAAUGUAGUUAGUUUCAGUAAGAGACCUUGGCCAGGCUCGGUGGCCCAGCCUGUAAUCCCAGGCCAAGGUGGGUGGAUCACCUGAGGUCAUGAGUUCGAGACCAGCCUGGCCAACAUGGUGAAACCCUGUCUCUACUAAAAAUACAAAAAUUAACCAGAUGUGGUGACAGGUGCCUGUAAUCCCAGCUACUCAUGAACCUGGGAGGUAGAGGUUGCAGUGAGCCAAGAUCACGCUAUUGCAUUCCAGCCUGGGUGACAAGAGCGAAACUCUGUCUCAAAGAAAAACAAACAAAAAAAGGCCAGGCACAGUGGCUCAUGCUUGUAUUCUCAGCACUUUGGGAGGUCAAGGCAGGCAGACCACCUGAGUUUAGGAGUUCGAGACCAGCCUGGCCAACAUGGUGGAACCCCGUCUCUACUAAAGUUACAGAAGUUGGCCGGGAUUGGUAGUGGCCACCUGUAAUCCCAACUACUCUGGUGGCUGAGGCAGGAGAAUUGCUUGAACCUGGGAGGUGGAGGUUGCAGUGAGUUGAGAUCAUGACAGAGUGAGACUCCCUCUCAGGAAAAAAAAAAAAAAAAAAAAGAGGCCCCAAAGUUUAUGUUUAUUAACCUGAGGCCCACCUGCCUACUGGCCCAAGGAUUCUCUGAAUCACCUCAGUUUUGUUAUCAAAUACUCUCUCCCCGACUUUUUUUUUUGAGACAGAGUCUCACUCUGUCACCGAGGCUGGAAUGUAGUAGUACAAUCUCUGCUCACUGCAACCUCUGCCUCCUGGGUUCAAGUGAUUCUCCCGCCUCAACCUCCUGAGUAGCUGGGACUACAGGCACACGCCAUCACUCCCAGCUAAUUUUUUUGGUAUUUUUAGUAGAGACGGGUUUUCACCAUGUUGGCCAGGAUGGUCUCAAUCUCUUGACCUCGUGAUCUGCCCUCCCCAACCUCCCAAAGUGCUGGGAUUCCAGAUGUGAGCCACCGUGCCCAGCCUACUCUCCCUUUUUAGCAUAGGCCACAUCAAGUUGGUUUCCAUUUUUUGCAAACCAAAGUGUCUCAAACUAGGCUCUGUUAUAUUUUUC